AUACACAGAAGUCCCAAGGUCAAGAAGCUCUCUCUGGACUGCAUUCUUUGUGGAGUGGAGACCGGCUCCCUAAACAGAAAGGAGGAGUUAAUGGAUGUUGGGUGCCAAUGGAGAGCCUGCUGCAGAAGCUCUGGGAUGACGCCUCUGAAAAAAAAUGGCAUUUAAACUUAAGAUGAGUGAGGGUCAGCAAGGAGCAAGGAGGAUGUACCUUCAGGCAGAGAGAGCCACGUGUGUGGCCUGUCUGUGCCCCGGGUUACAAGAUGUUCGUGCCAUUUCUCAUUUACUGCAUUGACCCCAAAAGGGAUCAGCGGAGAGGGAUGUGGCACGCGAGAAGCCACUGUCCCCUGGGAAAGAAGGGAGAAUGGUGCUCUCAACGCUGGGCCUGAAGGAUUGUGUGAGACACAGCGGUCUCAGCAGUCCCGCCUGCCGUCCCCAUGGUUGUAAAGCCCAGGUGAACUCUGUCAGCAACCUCAGCCUCCUCUGGAGGGAGGACCAGCGCACACGGCCUCCGUGACACCCACUGUAGAGGGAGCUUCAGUGGUUGCAGCUCCCAGGUCCGACCUGACUGGACCCACAGAGCUCUGGCUUCCCUCGCUGCUUCCUGGGGGGCCUGAAACACAUCCUAGAGAGACAGUGGCGCUAAUGUCCUGUGGAAGUGCCUCUGACCAUUGAGAGCCAGGAGCCAGGAGCCAGGAAGAAGCCAGCAGAUGAUUGCUCUCCCUUCCUGCCCACCCAGGAGCUGUUCCGAGAUCCAAGGAUAACAGGCCUUAAUUAAGAAGUAGCGCGUGAGCUUGGCCUCAGGCUGCUUUCUGGAGAACCCAGGCGACGGUGAGACCUUCUGACCCUUUACCUUCCAUCCUUCAGUCUGCUGCGCGCUGUUACUUCGCUUCAGGUUCCUGGGGAAGCAGUGCGGCCUCAGCGAGGGAGGAGUUUCAGGAGGGUGAGGUUAUCUUUCGGGAACUCCAAUGGCAGGGAUCACGCGAUCACCUCAAACUCAGGUGUCGUGCUUUCCGGUCGAUGCCUGUGCCAAAAGUUCGUUCUUCAAGACGAGUUCUUGUCCAAGUUACAUGGCCUAUUUUCUAAAAAAUCAAAUCAAGCACACUUCACAGCACCCUCACGGGUAGAACGCGUGGCUUAUUUAUUUUUAUGUGGUAUGUUCAUCUCUCAAUACCUGUGUUUUCACCAGAGUAAACUCAGUCUUGUGAAGUUAAAUUUCAUGCAUGUCAUAAAUGUUUCCCCAUCUGAGCAAAUAUUGAAAUGAGCAAUUCUGCUCUUUGACAGAGAGUGUUAAAUGUGUUUGGUCAUCAAAUUCGACUUAGUAUUCCCCAAGGUAUCCUAAUGUUUCUGGCAGUAUCUCAAAGCUCUCACGAAUCUCCCAGCCAACUAUUGCUUUGAAGGGCAGUUUCUUCACUUAGCAGGAAGUUUUUCUAGUUAAUUCACCUUACUUAGAGUUCCAUAGUUCCCUCUUUUAAUAUUUCCUACAUGUUUAAGCACAGCUAAAAAAGUGACUAAGAAACGUUUUAAAAGUUGUACUUGGUUAAGAAGCCUUGCAACUCUCAUGCUGGGGAACUGAUAAUUUGUGAUUCUAAUUUUAACUGGAUUAAUCUCAUUCAGAGUCUUUCUAUGCAUAUUACACAUCUUAGUGCCCAACUUCAUGAGGGAUUUAGCAACUGCUAUAUGUGGAAAAUGCUGAGAAUUGAGAUGCUUUUGCUGUUGAAGAAACAUUGCUCAUGUUCCAAAAUGCAGUUGAAACCCAAGUCAAUGUUAUAUGCAAUUUCAUUUUUAUUUUGAAAAUAUUGUUGCAGAAACAUAGUUUCUUUGGGAUUCUUUACCCCAAAUCACGGACACUGCUACUCUCAAAAGCAGUACGGUUUCUCGCUCUGCUGAGGGCCAGUCACGGUUCAGCUUCGGAGUGUCACCACGUUCCCCUUGGGGCUGUCUGGGGACACGGCUGGUUUGCCUCCCCUUGCUGGUUACACCACUUUCCUUUCUGCAUUGGUUUUCACUGGGCGCCUGCCAUUUCUGAUGUUCCAGGAAGUCUGCUGCUUCUACCUGACUCUAAUUCAAUUUGUUAAUAUACAACAUUGAUCUGGUUUAUGGACACAGAGAGCAUCCUGUGUAAUUUCAUCUAUGUUUGCCAAAAAGUGACUGUACCAGAUAAGAGCCUUACCAUCAACCUCAGGCUGCCCAGAAAUCCUUUUGUGCUCUGCCCUUUCAUUUUAAUAGUCUGUAGCUGGGGAAUGUUGGUUGGGCAUAUAAUCAUCACUUCUGUGGCGGGGGCCCUGUUUCUGUCUUUCAUCUCUGGUAGUGUAAUAGCCACUCUACUUCUUUUUUUUUUUUUUUAGGGCCGCACUGCAGCAUAUGGAAGUUCCCAGGCUAGGAAUUGAAUCAAAACUGUGGCCACCAGUCUAUGCCACAGCCACAGCUACAGCCACGUGGGAUCCAAGCCCCGCCUGCGACCUACACCACAGCUCAUGGCAAUGCCAGAUCCUUCACCCCCUGAGCGAGGCCGGGGAUCAAAGCCACAUCCUCAUGGAUGCUGGUUGGGUUUGUUACCGCUACGCCGAAAUAGGAACUCCACUCUGCCAUUUUUUAUCUUUUUAAAAUUUGCUUUCCAUCUUUGCAUAUUUGAAGACAUUUUGCUUUGCUUUCUUCUUUCCUCUGGAAGUGCUCCAGCUCCUUCAGGGGUCUCUUCCAUAAUCUAAUUUCCUUGGCUUUGCCAGAACCAACAGGGAAUAUUUCCUGGUGUCCGCCCUGAGCAGAAGGUCUAUGUGCCAGACUGUAUUGAACAAGUUUUUUCCCCCAGAACUCUUUAGGUUGAGGAGACAUUGGUGUCCAUAAUUUUGCAAAAAUUGCCACAGGAAUCCCCCUUUUCAAGACAUCUCGCCGCCUCUCCUGUUCAGAAACUGCUUCUUUCCCACUCAACACAUUUUCCAGAGAUUGGAGAGAACCGUUUCUCUGUCCAUAUCAGCUUUUGUCUAAAGAUGAACAAACAAAACAUGUACCAGUAACAGAGCCAGAACUGGACCUUUGCCUUCGUCUGAUUUGCUGUUUGAAACAUGGCUUUAUGACUCCGCCAUCACCAGGACUUUAGCGGCCAGAAUUAGAAAUGAAGCCAAACAAAUUACUUUGACAGUUUUAAUGAUAAGUGCAACUCAUGUCAGCUAAGCUAGUCAGUGUUUGUGAUGGUCGGAAUAAUCUUUUUUUUCAUUGAAGUAUAGUUGAUUUACAAUGUCGUGUUGAUUUCAGGUGUACAGAACAGUGAUUCAGUUAUACAUACUUUUUCAGAUUCUUUUUCCUUAUAGGUCAUUACACAAUAUUGAGUAUAGUGUCCUGUGUUAUACGGUAGAUCCUGUUGGUUAUCUAUUUUAUGUAUAAUAAUGUGUAUAUGUUAACUCUGACCUCCUAAUUAUCUUCCUCCCCACCUUUGGGGACCAUAAAUUUGUUAUCUAUGUCUGUGGAUCUGUUUCCAUUUAGUAAAUAAGUUCAUUUGUAUCUUUUUUUUUUAAGAUUCCACAUAUAAGUGAUAUCAUAUGAUAUUUGUCUUUGUUUGGCUUACUUCACCUAGUAUGAUAAUCUCUAGGUCCAUCCAUGUUGCUGCAAAUAGCAUUAUCUUGUUCUUUUUUAUGGCUGAGUAGUAUGCCAUUGUGUAUAUGUACCACAUCUCCUUAAUCCAUUCAUCUGUCAAGGGACAUUUGGGUUGUUUCCUUAUUCUUAAAAGUCAGACUCAAGAUCACAAAGUUGCCAAGUAAGUGAACCAGAACUGGAAUCCAGAUCGUCUGAGUAAAGGCAUCUAUGACAGUUUGUCAUGUCCCUCUACUUUCUUCUGAAUGUUCUCAGGAGAAAUUUUUAAAGUUAUGUAGACCAGGAGUUAUAUAUGCCUCUACCAUACAUGUUUCAUGGGUCAAAGUGAAGCAAAGAAAGAAUGUCUUUCCUGAAAGCAAGUAGAUGGCUUCACAGUAGAGCAACGGAGAGAGAAACACCAUGACAUGCUUCAUUUUUUGCAAGUAUCUUUCUUUUGCUGUUCUCAAGUAGGUAAGAAUCAGGUGACAAAUUCGUUUAAACAGUUCCCACUGAGAUUUGUGAACCAAAAAAGGCAGACAGGAAAAUAAACUGGACAGACAAUC
rnacentral:lncRNA from 1 species